ensembl:lncRNA EWSAT1 Ewing sarcoma associated transcript 1
ACAACUAUGGCUUGUCUGAGUCCUGAGCCAGCAGAGCUCAGGCCACAGCACCUGCACCCGUUUUCUGCUGCUGCACACAAGGGCUCUGUGCAUUCCGCAUCCAGGUGUGCCCCUCCUCUUCUGGAGGAUUCUUUUUCAGGCUGUCCCAGAGACUUUGCAGCACAGCAUCCUUGCUCUAUUUCUUCCUGCAACAUCUCUGCUGAAGCUCUAUUGCUUUUGGCAACUCUUCCGUCUAUUUUGUGGUUUAGGUGUCUCCUACUUUUACUAAAAAUGGAAUUUGUGUUUUUAUCGCUCAAGUCCUUUUUGCUUUUGGAUUACUUCCAGAAAAUGAAGGGAGGGUUACUAACUUUAUGCCAUCUUCAAACCAGAAGAUCUUAGAUUAGUAAGAUCAUGUUGGCCAUGGCAUGGAGAAUGGGCUGGAGGUGGAGAGACUGGAGGUUGGAAGUCCAGUUAGGAGAUUGCUCCUGCGCUGGGGAGUUGGUGUUAGGACAGAAGAUCCAAGACGCGUUUCAGAGAGCCCCUCUUCUUGGGCCUGCGAUUCCUCACCUGGAAGGGAGAAGAGUGGACUUCCUGCCUAGAGAACACCUUGGUAAACUCUUUGUGGUUCCUGUCAUGAGAAGGUGUGCAGCUUAGGGAAAAAGCCUGUGAGCUCUGGAAUCAGAUGGAACUGGAUAUGAAUUUCCAUUUAGUGCUUGUUGGAUUAAAUGUGAUGCUACUUCUCCCAGCCGAAAGAAUAAAACUGGUAAGAGGAAGGGAAAUGCAGCCUCAGUAAGGAGGCCUCCAUUCUGGAAGGGCUUCCCAGGCCCAGAGAAGGGAGAAAGUAAUUUGGAACCACCCAAGUAUUGGUGAUGCCAGGCCUCACCCUACCCUGGGGAUAUUUGAAUCUCAAAAAGGGAGCAUGGGAAUCUGACAAAGCACUUGCAUGUAUAAAGAACUCCUCCAAAUCAACAAGGCAAAAACCUCAUUAGAUACAUAGGCAAAAACCUCAGAAGAGCCACAUCACAAAGGAGCACCUCCAAAUGGCCAAGAAGCAUAUGAAAAUAUGUUCAAUCUCAUUAGCCAACAGGGAAUUCAAAUUAGAACUACACCAGGAUGGCUGAAAGUGCAAAGACUGACAAUAUCAAGGGCUGGUGGGGAUGCAGAACAACUGGAACUCUCCUAUGCACUGCGGAAGGGGUAAAUUAAUACCGCCCCUUUGGAAGAACAGUUUAGAAGCAUCACUAAAGCUGAAUAUAUUCAUGCCUACUCCGGAAAUCCUGAGCCCAGGUAUAUAUCUAACAGAAGUUUGUUUAUAAAGGCACCAAAAGUCAAUUACACAAGAUACAAGAAUGUUCAUAGUAGAGCCGUUUGUAUUAGUCAUAAACUGGAAACCACCCAAAUGCCCAUCAGUGUGGCUCCCUUUGAAGAACUGCCUUGGGGUUCAUGUUGCAGCAUCAAACAGGGAUGGAAGAUGCAUCUUGCUUUAGCAGCAGGAGCCUGGAAAGCAGCUGAAGCCCUGGAGGGUGCCUGGCACACAGAAUCUUGUGCUGAGCCCGGAGCACAAUGGGAGCGGGCUGGCGGGGUGGGUUCACAGCUGGACUGGGAGCAGCAGACAUACAGGCCGUAGGCACAGACAUAUAAAGACAGUCAUGCAGAUUGCAGGAUGCCUGAGAGCACAGACUCUCACAUGCACAAAUACGUGCAUGAUCGCCAGUGUGCAUCCAGACAGCCCCACAUGCAUGCACACGCAUGCACACAUGUGAUGUGUACAUAGAUGGACACAUGUCUAUGCCCACAAACACUGCAGAGACACAGAAGUGUCUGGCAAGGAACACUAUUUUGUCCUCAAUUUUCUGCCAGUGAGAGUCUACUGACUCCAUCUCUGAAAUGUCUCUACUUAUUGUCCCUCUUCUCCACCUGCACCACAUCCCUAGUCCCUGAAACUCCCACCGAGACCCCUGGGCAAUAGCAAAGUCUGCACAGGAUUCCUGCUCCGCCUCUACCCCACCCUUAAGCCCAUCCUACAUGCAAGAGCAGGAGUUAUCUGGGUAUCAAGCAAAUCUGACCACAUCACCUCCCCACUGCUUAAAACCCUUUCCUACAGGAUGAAGUUGAAAUCACUUGACAUCCCAUAUAAGGCCCUUGACUGUCUGGCAUCAGCCAUAGUCUGGCCUCAGGCCCUGGCAUGGAGUCCCCUGGACUCAGUGCUCUGGCUGAGGGCCUCCAGGAUGAAGAUACCCUGUGCAAAGCCUCACACUUUUGCUGUUGCUGGGCUCACUGUGUGAAAUUCCCUCCUCCCUCCUUCCACCUUCCCUAUGCUGAACUGCCACUCCUCCAUCCUCCAUGGCCAGCUAAGCCAACACCUCCCCACUUCCUCCUGACAACCCAGGCACAGCCACUGACCUGUCCCAUGGCUGUCACAGCCCUUUCUUGGGCUCUCAAUGGUAUCAUUGUCACCUGUGUGCUCAUGAGCCUCUGCCACUCAACUCCAAGCACAUCAAAUAAAGAGCUCAAAACAU